rnacentral:rRNA from 1 species
GGCGGCAGGCCUCAAACAUGCAAGUCUAGGGGGUGUAGCAAUACAUCACCGGCGGACGGGUGCGUAACGCGUGGGAAUAUACCUAUCGGUACGGAACAACUGCGGGAAACUGCAGCUAAUACCGUAUACGUCCUAACGGAGAAAGAAUUUCGCCGAUAGAUUAGCCCGCGUUCGAUUAGCUAGUUGGUGGGGUAACGGCCCACCAAGGCGACGAUCGAUAGCUGUUCUGAGAGGAAGAUCAGCCACACUGGGACUGAGACACGGCCCAGACUCCUACGGGAGGCAGCAGUUGGGAAUCUUGGACAAUGGGGGAAACCCUGAUCCAGCCAUGCCGCGUGAGUGAUGAAGGCCUUCGGGUUGUAAAACUCUUUCGACGGGGACGAUAAUGACGGUACCCGUAGAAGAAGCUCCGGCUAACUUCGUGCCAGCAGCCGCGGUAAUACGAAGGGG